rnacentral:rRNA from 1 species
UACGGCUCAGUAACACGUGGAUAACCUGCCCUAAGGUGGAGAAUAACCCCGGGAAACUGGGGAUAAUACUCCAUAGAUUAGAGAUACUGGAAUGUUCUCUAGUCGAAAGCUCCGGCGCCUUAGGAUGGAUCUGCGGUCGAUUAGGUAGUUGUUGGGGUAACGGCCCAACAAGCCUGUAAUCGAUACGGGUUGUGGGAGCAAGAGCCCGGAGAUGGAAUCUGAGACACGAUUCCAGGCCCUACGGGGCGCAGCAGGCGCGAAAACUUUACAAUGCAGGAAACUGUGAUAAGGGAACCCCGAGUGCCCGUAUACGCGGGCUGUCCAGGUGUUUAAAACGCAUCUGAAGAAAGGGCCGGGCAAGACCGGUGCCAGCCGCCGCGGUAAUACCGGCGGCUCGAGUGGUGGCCACUUUUAUUGGGCUUAAAGCGUCCGUAGCUGGACUGAUAAGUCUCUUGGGAAAUCCGCCGGCUUAACCGGCGGGCGUCUAAGAGAUACUGUUGGUCUAGGGACCGGGAGAGGUGAGAGGUACUCCGGGGGUAGGAGUGAAAUCCUGUAAUCCCUGGGGGACCACCUAUGGCGAAGGCAUCUCACCAGAACGGCUCCGACAGUGAGGGACGAAAGCUGGGGGAGCGAACCGGAUUAGAUACCCGGGUAGUCCCAGCCGUAAACUAUGCGCGUUAGGUGUACCGGUGACCACGAGUCACUGGGGUACCGAAGGGAAACCGUGAAACGUGCCGC